AGCCCUCAGCCUGCCGAUAGCCUCUGGACCCUCUAGGUUCCCCCCUCAGCCGCUCAGCUCAACUCCUGUACAGUGAACCCACUCGUGACCAGUCCUGGACCUGUUAACUCUGUGUGCAUUUCUGAAUCCACUCGUGACCAGACGAGUUCCCCUUGGGAUCUGUUUAUUUAUUGUAUUCCAUCUUCU